GCACGGACUCUGAAAAAGAUGUUCUCCCCGAAAGCCAAAAGAACUCUAAAAGGAGUAAAAUAUCAACUGUUUGGAAGUAUUAUUGGACCCACGUUUUAAAAAAAAUGGUUUUCAAGACGCUUCAAACGCUGAACAAGCAUCAACCUUUUUUGAAAACGAACUGGCCCAUUCGUCAAUCGAAGAGUCCAGAAAGGAUCUGACCAUCGCAGCGGACACAAGUACCCAGGACACAUUUUUUGAUUUUUUGGGUGAACGAUCAGAUAGCAAAAUCGGAAACGCACGAGUGGAUGCUAUACUUAUUAAAAGGCAAUAUCUGGAGAGGGCAAUUGUCAGUCACGAUGUGGACCCACUGUUAUGGAUUAAGGUUAAUCAAACUGAUCUUCCCUGCAUAAAGGGCCUCUUUUGCAAAUACCUUUGCAUUCCCGCAACAUCCGUAGAAUCGGAAAGAGCUUUUAGCAAGGCAGGGCAAAUUGUUUCCGAGAGACGCACCCGGCUCAAAGAGAAAAACAUUAACAUCCUGUUAUUUUUGAAUCAAAACUUUUGGUUAAAAUAAACCAUUUUUCUUAAAAACUUAAAAAAAAAA